rnacentral:tRNA from 1 species
GAUUUUAAGUUAAGUAAACUGGGGGCUUUCAAGGCCCUUUAUAAAUAAUAAUUUGUUUAAAUCUUG